rnacentral:lncRNA from 10 species
AGACCUGAGAGGGGAGGGGUGGUGAGAAAAGACCUGGACUUUACACCAAAAGAUUAAAUGAAUGUACAGCCAUAUAUUUUUGAUCCUAAUUGAGUAGUAUUUAAACAUACGGGGUGGAGGCAGCAGUCUGCAGGGAGCAUCUGAGUCUGUUAGAAUUUGACUCUCGAUCUCAUCUUCCUCCUAGUGGAUGCUAAAAUUAACAAGUGAAAGUUUAAGGAGAAACAUGAUAGUUUCACAGCCUCCAAGUAUUUUCCCCCAAAUAUUUAUUAAUUCCUCUGGUGGUUUUAACAUACACAUAUAUCUACAAAUUCUUUAAUACUGCUCCCUCUUAGGAGAUGAGGAUAAAUUCCCCUCAUUGUGAGGAUGAGCUGGAUGUCAGUGACUCCAAUUCCAAUGAACAGACUCUGGAAAGGUAAAAGUCAUAAUUUUUCAGUGGAGAAACCUGGCAUACAUCACCUUGACCGAUGGAUCAAGGUUAAUGUCACCAAUAGUAAGACUUUGACGUCAUGUACCUCAUGAUAUGAUGCAAUGAAGGGGCGCGUCGCCUCCGUGGCAUUCUUCCCCAAAUUCAUAACCUCGGUGUUAUCAUGAGAAAGCAUGAAACAAACCCAGAUUGAGGGACAGUCUACAAAAUAGCUGACCGGUACUCUUCAAACUGUCACAAUCAUGCAGUGUUGUACCAACAUUCAUCUCUUAGUUUUUGUAACUGUACCACAGCUAAAUAAGAUGUUAACAUUAGGAGAAGGUGGAUGAAGAAGGCUUUAUGAUAACUUUUUGCAUUAUUUUUGCAACUUUUCUGUAAGUCUUUAGGUAUUUCAAAAUAAAAUGUUUAAAGAAAAAAAAAAAGACCCAUCAAGGGCAUAGAAAAGCUUAGGUGAAGAAACCCUAAAAUGAAUCCUCAUUUAUCAACUCAUUCAUUUAUUGAUUCAUUUGUUCAUUCAUUUGUUCACUCAAGAAGUAUUUGUUGCCAGACACAGUACCA